UAUUUUAUUUCAAGAUUUGUUUUGAAGAAAUUGAAUAAAUGAAUGGAAAGGAUGAAAGUACGCCGUCUCAAGGUUGAGAGAGACGGGUAUUAUAGAGGGACACCUCUGAAGACACUUUACACCAAAUGAGUAGUCGUAUUCAUUAUUUAUAACUAAUAUAUUU
rnacentral:sRNA from 1 species